rnacentral:rRNA from 1 species
GAUGAACGCUGGCGGCGUGCCUAAUACAUGCAAGUCGAGCGAACAGACGAGGAGCUUGCUCCUCUGGCGUUAGCGGCGGACGGGUGAGUAACACGUGGAUAACCUACCUAUAAGACUGGGAUAACUUCGGGAAACCGGAGCUAAUACCGGAUAAUAUAUUGAACCGCAUGGUUCAAUAGUGAAAGACGGUUUUGCUGUCACUUAUAGAUGGAUCCGCGCCGCAUUAGCUAGUUGGUAGGGUAACGGCUUACCAAGGCAACGAUGCGUAGCCGACCUGAGAGGGUGAUCGGCCACACUGGAACUGAGACACGGUCCAGACUCCUACGGGAGGCAGCAGUAGGGAAUCUUCCGCAAUGGGCGAAAGCCUGACGGAGCAACGCCGCGUGAGUGAUGAAGGUCUUCGGAUCGUAAAACUCUGUUAUUAGGGAAGAACAAAUGUGUAAGUAACUAUGCACGUCUUGACGGUACCUAAUCAGAAAGCCACGGCUAACUACGUG